GAUGAACGCUGGCGGCGUGCCUAAUACAUGCAAGUCGAGCGAACAGACGAGGAGCUUGCUCCUCUGACGUUAGCGGCGGACGGGUGAGUAACAUGUGGAUAACCUACCUAUAAGACUGGGAUAAUUUCGGGAAACCGGAGCUAAUAACGGAUAAUAUAUUGACCCGCAUUGUUCAAUAGUGAGAGACGGUUUUUCUGUCACUUAUAGACGGAUCCGCGCCGCAUUAGCUAGUUGGUAAGGUAACGGCUUACCAAGGCAACGAGGCGAAGCCGACCUGAGAGGGUCAUCCGCGACACUGGAACUGAGAAUCAGUACCGACUCCUGCGGGGAGCAUCAGUACGGAAUCUUACGCAAUGGGGCAGAGGCGUACGGUGCAAAGCCGGGUAAGUGAUGAACGUCCUCGGAUCGUUGAGCGCUGUUAUUAGGAAGGAGGUAAUGUGUAUGUAACUAUGCACAUCUUGACGGUACCUAAUGAGAAAGCCCCGGCUAACUCCGUG
rnacentral:rRNA from 1 species